AAGCCAGUCGAAGAUACCAGCUGGCUGCAACUGUUUAUUAAAAACACAGCACUGUGCAAACACGAAAGUGGACGUAUACGGUGUGACGCCUGCCCGGUGCUGGAAGGUUAAUUGAUGGGGUCAGCCGUAAGGCGAAGCUCCUGAUCGAAGCCCCAGUAAACGGCGGCCGUAACUAUAACGGUCCUAAGGUAGCGAAAGCCAGUCGAAGAUACCAGCUGGCUGCAACUGUUUAUUAAAAACACAGCACUGUGCAAACACGAAAGUGGACGUAUACGGUGUGACGCCUGCCCGGUG
rnacentral:rRNA from 1 species